rnacentral:misc_RNA from 1 species
GGUGAGUGCCGGUUUGGAGUAAGACUGGUUAAAAAUUGACUGCGGUUGAAAUUAUUGCACUUUGUUUUGACCACCCUGGUUAAGUUUCGGCCUCUUUCAGCGACAAGAAUGAUAGAGAAGAGAGAGACAAGGUAUUGAGGAAGAGAGGAGAAAGAAUAAAGAAAAAGAGGAAGGAGAGAGUUUGUGUACCUGCUGAGCAGCAAUAGCUAGGAGAAGAGAGGAACGCUGUUCUGUUUGCAUAAGGACGGGAAAGUGACUCUGAGAGAGAGAGAGAGA